rnacentral:rRNA from 1 species
GAUGAACGCUAGCGGCAGGCUUAAUACAUGCAAGUCGAGGGGCAGCACGAAUAGCAAUAUUUGGUGGCGACCGGCGCACGGGUGCGUAACACGUAUACAAUCUACCUUAAACAGGGAGAUAGCCUUUCGAAAGAGAGAUUAAUACCCCGUAAUAAACUGGAUGGCAUCAUCUGGUUUUGAAAGUUCCGACGGUUUAAGAUGAGUAUGCGUCUGAUUAGCUAGUUGGUGGUGUAAUAGACCACCAAGGCGACGAUCAGUAGGGGAUCUGAGAGGACUACCCCCCACACUGGUACUGAGGCACGGACCAGACUCCUACGGGAGGCAGCAGUAAGGAAUAUUUGUCAAUGGAGGCAACUCUGAACCAGCCAUGCCGCGUGCAGGAUGAAGGCCCUAUGGGUCGUAAACUGCUUUUAUACGGGAGAAAACCCGAGUACGUGUACUCGGUUGAUAGUACUGUAAGAAUAAGGAUCGGCUAACUUCGUGCCAGCCGCCGCAGUAAUAC